CCCAGAGUCCCUUAUUACCAUAGGUACAGUUGGGAUUGUUCACCUGCUCAUACGCUGCUGAUUCUCCUCUCCUAGGACUCUCCACGUGUCCCAGACAAAGGAAAUGGACUCUAUCAGGAUGCCGUGGCUGCGGGACCCGCGGAGGUGAUGGACGGAGCAGAGUGCACACUGAAAGAGCUGCUGAGGGUACAGGACUCAGAGCGUCUGCAGGGCAAGGUGUCGGUGGAGCGGAGCCAGCUGGUGGUACUGGAGAGAGUAGCCGCCCGCAGCCAAGAUUGUUGCCACGAUUCAUUGAGGCAUUCCGGAGAUCGCACAACAUCAUCUCCAGCUCCAAUAGUUCCCUGAUGGGCAUGCAGCAUAGAAAAAUGCCUAAAUCUGUGGAUGAGCCACAAGGACAGAAAGUCAGAGAGGAAUCGCAGGCAUCAAGCACCAUACAAGCUCCUUCGAGGAAGAGAAAAUAUCCUUUUACAGAGGAGACUCCAGUAAUUAAAAAACGAAAAAUAAAUGAUUAAAAACAACGAUUUACUCUACUAAUCAAAAAAAUGUAAAAAAAAAAAACCAAAACAACGGAUUUUCAAAAAAUUAUAAAAA